rnacentral:rRNA from 1 species
AUUGAACGCUGGCGGCAGGCCUAACACAUGCAAGUCGAACGGUAACAGGAAACAGCUUGCUGUUUCGCUGACGAGUGGCGGACGGGUGAGUAAUGUCUGGGAAACUGCCUGAUGGAGGGGGAUAACUACUGGAAACGGUAGCUAAUACCGCAUAACGUCGCAAGACCAAAGAGGGGGACCUUCGGGCCUCUUGCCAUCGGAUGUGCCCAGAUGGGAUUAGCUAGUAGGUGGGGUAACGGCUCACCUAGGCGACGAUCCCUAGCUGGUCUGAGAGGAUGACCAGCCACACUGGAACUGAGACACGGUCCAGACUCCUACGGGAGGCAGCAGUGGGGAAUAUUGCACAAUGGGCGCAAGCCUGAUGCAGCCAUGCCGCGUGUAUGAAGAAGGCCUUCGGGUUGUAAAGUACUUUCAGCGGGGAGGAAGGGAGUAAAGUUAAUACCUUUGCUCAUUGACGUUACCCGCAGAAGAGGCACCGGCUAACUCCGUGCCAGCAGCCGCGGUAAUACGGAGGGUGCAAGCGUUAAUCGGAAUUACUGGGCGUAAAGCGCACGCAGGCGGUUUGUUAAGUCAGAUGUGAAAUCCCCGGGCUCAACCUGGGAACUGCAUCUGAUACUGGCAAGCUUGAGUCUCGUAGAGGGGGGUAGAAUUCCAGGUGUAGCGGUGAAAUGCGUAGAGAUCUGGAGGAAUACCGGUGGCGAAGGCGGCCCCCUGGACGAAGACUGACGCUCAGGUGCGAAAGCGUGGGGAGCAAACAGG